GCCAGAGUGGUGCAGUGGUUUGAAUCUUGGACUAUGACUCUGGAGACCAGAGUUCGAAACCUGGCUUGGCCA